rnacentral:rRNA from 1 species
GAUGAACGCUGGCGGCGUGCCUAAUACAUGCAAGUCGAGCGAACAGACGAGGAGCUUGCUCCUCUGACGUUAGCGGCGGACGGGUGAGUAACACGUGGAUAACCUACCUAUAAGACUGGGAUAACUUCGGGAAACCGGAGCUAAUACCGGAUAAUAUAUUGAACCGCAUGGUUCAAUAGUGAAAGACGGUUUUGCUGUCACUUAUAGAUGGAUCCGCGCCGCAUUAGCUAGUUGGUAAGGUAACGGCUUACCAAGGCAACGAUGCGUAGCCGACCUGAGAGGGUGAUCGGCCACACUGGAACUGAGACACGGUCCAGACUCCUACGGGAGGCAGCCGUAGGGAAUCUUCCGCAAUGGGCGAAAGCCUGACGGGACAACGCCGCGUGAGUGAUGAAGGUCUUCGGAUCCUAAAACUCUGUUAUUAGGGAAGAACAAAUGUGUAAGUAACCAUGCACGUCUUGACGGUACCUAAUCAGAAAGCCACCGCUAACUACGUG